UUUUGAAUGAAAACUUAGACUGUAUCACUACAUGCUGGAAAAGUUUUGUUUCUUUUCCUCUCCCAUAGCUAAGAUUAAUGCAGGCAGAGGUCAUUGUUUUAUUUCUUGCUUAACCUCUGUGUAUUAACUUCCCAUAGGACAUAUUCUUUCAACACUUGGCGUGAUUUCAUUUUGCUUCCUAGUCCUUUACUAAACUUAACAGACAUGUGUAUUUUCUCUAGAAAAUUUCAACACCUCUUUGAAUAGAAGCAGCCAGUGUUUGGCUCCUAAUAGAAGAGCUGAAGGAAAGAAGAAAUAGGAUUCUUGAUGAGAAAAUAUUCAUUUAUUUCAUAUGUUACCAUUUUCAGGAUAAUGCUUAUCCUGGCAAGAAGUUUGAUGACGCUUCACAUGACUGCACCUAGAACAGCUGGAAGAGAACAGCAGUACCUCACAGCUCUCAUUGUGUAGUUCCCUGCCAUACACGCACCUUCGUGAGCCAUGUGAUGCUGUAGCUUUUAAUGCCAGCUUCUCUUGUAUUCUACAUUAACUUUUCUACUAAUAUUUGAAACUCCUUAUGAAUACAAGUAAUAUUUUCUUAAUUAUUUAUUACUUUGCAACCCCAAACUAUGAA
rnacentral:lncRNA from 1 species